AGGAACAAAAUUGACACCAUUGAAAAUUGUAAUCCUUAUUUCUUAUGUGCUAUACAAAUAGUUGAAGGUUAAUUACCAGUAUAACUAUAAAUAGUAAUGUUGCCAGUCUCCUUCAGACAAAA
ensembl:snoRNA